rnacentral:rRNA from 1 species
ACCUCGGAAGUUAACAUAAAGAAAACAGAGUUUUAGGGGUCCUUCGGGCGGGCCGUCCCCGUUUUACCCGGGAGCGGGGUGGUUCCGCCCGGAGGCAAACAAAUUGGUAUGUUUCACAGGGGUUUGGGAGUUGUAAACUCGUAAAGAACUUCUGUAGGUGAACCUGCGGAGGGAUCAUUACCGAGUUUACAACUCCCAAACCCCUGUGAACAUACCAAUUGUUGCCUCGGCGGAUCAGCCCGCUCCCGGUAAAACGGGACGGCCCGCCAGAGGACCCCUAAACUCUGUUUCUAUAUGUAACUUCUGAGUAAAACCAUAAAUAAAUCAAAACUUUCAACAACGGAUCUCUUGGUUCUGGCAUCGAUGAAGAACGCAGCAAAAUGCGAUAAGUAAUGUGAAUUGCAGAAUUCAGUGAAUCAUCGAAUCUUUGAACGCACAUUGCGCCCGCCAGUAUUCUGGCGGGCAUGCCUGUUCGAGCGUCAUUUCAACCCUCAAGCCCCCGGGUUUGGUGUUGGGGAUCGGCGAGCCCUUGCGGCAAGCCGGCCCCGAAAUCUAGUGGCGGUCUCGCUGCAGCUUCCAUUGCGUAGUAGUAAAACCCUCGCAACUGGUACGCGGCGCGGCCAAGCCGUUAAACCCCCAACUUCUGAAUGUUGACCUCGGAUCAGGUAGGAAAUCCCCAG